UACGUAGGGGGCAAGCGUUGUCCGGAUUUAUUGGGCGUAAAGAGCGUGUAGGCGGCUUGGUAGGUCCGCUGUGAAAACUCGAGGCUCAACCUCGAGAUGUCGGUGGAUACUGCCGGGCUAGAGUCCGGAAGAGGCGAGUGGAGCUCCUGGUGUAGCGGUGGAAUGCGCAGAUAUCAGGAAGAACACCAACGGCGAAGGCAGCUCGCUGGGACGGUACUGACGCUGAGACGCGAAAGCGUGGGGAGCGAACAGG
rnacentral:rRNA from 1 species